rnacentral:rRNA from 1 species
GAUGAACGCUGGCGGCGUGCCUAAUACAUGCAAGUCGAGCGAACGGACGAGAAGCUUGCUUCUCUGAUGUUAGCGGCGGACGGGUGAGUAACACGCGGAUAACCUACCUAUAAGACUGGGAUAACUUCGGGAAACCGGAGCUAAUACCGGAUAAUAUUUUGAACCGCAUGGUUCAAAAGUGAAAGACGGUCUUGCUGUCACUUAUAGAUGGAUCCGCGCUGCAUUAGCUAGUUGGUAAGGUAACGGCUUACCAAGGCAACGAUGCAUAGCCGACCUGAGAGGGUGAUCGGCCACACUGGAACUGAGACACGGUCCAGACUCCUACGGGAGGCAGCAGUAGGGAAUCUUCCGCAAUGGGCGAAAGCCUGACGGAGCAACGCCGCGUGAGUGAUGAAGGUCUUCGGAUCGUAAAACUCUGUUAUUAGGGAAGAACAUAUGUGUAAGUAACUGUGCACAUCUUGACGGUACCUAAUCAGAAAGCCACGGCUAACUACGCGCCAGCAGCCGCGGUAAUACGUAGGUGGCAAGCGUUAUCCGGAAUUAUUGGGCGUAAAGCGCGCGUAGGCGGUUUUUUAAGUCUGAUGUGAAAGCCCACGGCUCAACCGUGGAGGGUCAUUGGAAACUGGAAAACUUGAGUGCAGAAGAGGAAAGUGGAAUUCCAUGUGUAGCGGUGAAAUGCGCAGAGAUAUGGAGGAACACCAGUGGCGAAGGCGACUUUCUGGUCUGUAACUGACGCUGAUGUGCGAAAGCGUGGGGAUCAAACAGGAUUAGAUACCCUGGUAGUCCACGCCGUAAACGAUGAGUGCUAAGUGUUAGGGGGUUUCCGCCCCUUAGUGCUGCAGCUAACGCAUUAAGCACUCCGCCUGGGGAGUACGACCGCAAGGUUGAAACUCAAAGGAAUUGACGGGGACCCGCACAAGCGGUGGAGCAUGUGGUUUAAUUCGAAGCAACGCGAAGAACCUUACCAAAUCUUGACAUCCUUUGACAACUCUAGAGAUAGAGCCUUCCCCUUCGGGGGACAAAGUGACAGGUGGUGCAUGGUUGUCGUCAGCUCGUGUCGUGAGAUGUUGGGUUAAGUCCCGCAACGAGCGCAACCCUUAAGCUUAGUUGCCAUCAUUAAGUUGGGCACUCUAAGUUGACUGCCGGUGACAAACCGGAGGAAGGUGGGGAUGACGUCAAAUCAUCAUGCCCCUUAUGAUUUGGGCUACACACGUGCUACAAUGGACAAUACAAAGGGCAGCGAAACCGCGAGGUCAAGCAAAUCCCAUAAAGUUGUUCUCAGUUCGGAUUGUAGUCUGCAACUCGACUACAUGAAGCUGGAAUCGCUAGUAAUCGUAGAUCAGCAUGCUACGGUGAAUACGUUCCCGGGUCU